UAUUUAGUACUAAAACUUGCAACAAUAAAGCUUUUUAUUUCCAGAUACGAAUGAGCCAACAUGCUCCCAUUAAUCCUGCUGUAACAAUAGUUCAUGCAACUGCUUACGCCUUUGAAAUUGGGAUUUCUUUCGCAAAAUGAAAAACACGCAUUGAGGCGGACAUGUGAAGAAGAAGCAAUGCGACGGUGCGAGACUUAUUAUAUCUGCAACUGCGGGAAUAAUCGUUGGAUACCUAAUCGGGAUUAAUUUUCCUUAUGUUGCUCUUACCAAGGUUCUUGGCUACCCUAGCUAAUCCCGUCGCGUAUUGUCAACUCCGCUGAAAUGCGCGGCGACUCUUAAAAGCUGCGAAAGAGAUAGAAAACCAACGACUUUGGUGGUCGUGCUACUCAACGGCGGCGAUAGAAGGUUGGGGUGUGUUCUCUUCUCCCUUCCCUUGAAUUUGCUCGAAUAGUAUUAUAUUUUACACUCACUUUUAUGUAUUGGUUUGAGUUUAUAAUAGCUUUUUUACCAAUUUAGACCAAAAUGUGAUUAAGCAUAACAUUUAGGCUGCAAGUGUAAAUGCAAUCUUGGGACGAAAAUGACAAGGAAAUUUGAAGGACCAAAGGUGUUUGAAUUGGAAACCAAAAAUAAGUAUUUUUGUAA